rfam:Citrus sinensis cultivar Ridge Pineapple sweet orange scaffold00004_contig_568, whole genome shotgun sequence.
UGGCCUAUGAGGAUAUCAUUCAAAACAUACCAUCUUUCGGGACUGAAUGGCUUUUUAAGCCUUGCUGUCAUUCUGCAAUUCUGAGGCCC